rfam:Triticum aestivum genome assembly, contig: Triticum_aestivum_CS42_TGACv1_scaffold_513147_6BS
AAAAUACUCCCUCCGUCCCAAAAUUCUUGUCUUAGCUUUACCUAGAUACGGAUGUAUCUAACACUAAAACAUGACUUGAUACAUCCGUAUUUAGACAAACCCAAGACAAGAAUUUUGGGACGGAGGGAGUACUUA